rnacentral:rRNA from 1 species
AACGAACGCUGGCGGCGCGCCUAAUACAUGCAAGCCGAGCGAGAAGACGUAGCAAUACGUUUGUAAAGCGGCGAACGGGUGAGGAAUACAUGGGUAACCUACCCUCGAGUGGGGAAUAACUAGCCGAAAGGUUAGCUAAUACCGCGUACGCUCCUUGGACUUCGGUUCAGGGAGGAAAGCGAUACCGCGGGUAUCGCGCUCUUGGAUGGGCUCAUGUCCUAUCAGCUUGUUGGUGAGGUAACGGCUCACCAAGGCUUCGACGGGUAGCUGGUCUGAGAGGACGAUCAGCCACACUGGCACUGCGACACGGGCCAGACUCCUACGGGAGGCAGCAGUAAGGAAUAUUGCGCAAUGGGCGAAAGCCUGACGCAGCGACGCCGCGUGGGGGAUGAAGGUCUUCGGAUUGUAAACCCCUUUCGGGAGGGAAGAUGGAACGAGCAAUCGUUCGGACGGUACCUCCAGAAGCAGCCACGGCUAACUUCGUGCCAGCAGCCGCCGUAAG